CUUCUACGCCUCUCGGAAUUGACGACGAUGAGGGAUAGAUCUCGCAGCGAUAGAAAUAAGCGGCGGUGCCGCUCGCCCUCCGCCUCUGCCGGAAAAUGGGCUGACCUUCUCGACCCGCUUCUUCUUUCCGUCCUCGACCGCCUCCCCUCCCUCCGCGACCGCUUCGCCGUCGCCUCCGUCUGUCGCACCUGGCGCGCCGUCUCCCGCCCCUCCCUGUCCUCGGCCACCGGUAGUUGUCCCCCUCUCCUCUUCCGCCUGUUCGUUGGCCCCUUCCACCGCCGGUCCCGCCGCUGCCACCAGAUUUCCCCCCGCCGUUGCGACCUCCUCUGCCCAGCCGCACCCUUCGCGCCCUCCCGCUCCGUGGUUUCCUCCGGGACCCUCAACCUUUUCCUCCUUGGCUGUUCCUAUGGCCACCUCAUCUUCUGCAAGGGCCGUCGUGCCAUCCUCGCUGACAUCUUCACUGGCGACGAGCUCCGUUCGCCGGACCUCCCCAGCGAUGGCUGGCGUUUCCACUACGGAGCCCUAACUGGUUCUCUGUCCUCUCCCGGCUCCAAUCUCCUCUUGAGUGCUAACGGGAACCUUCUGCGGUGGCGGAUUGGAGACAGUAAAUGGGAAGAAUGCUCAUUCACACCGCUUGAUGUUCACAUGGAACGUGUAGUGGCUUUCAAAGACCACGUUUUUGCGUUGGACAGUGCCGAAAGGCUUCGCGUUCUCCAGUUCUCGCCUUAUUUUAGCAUCAAACAGAUGGCAGUUGAGUGGGCUGGGCGAAGCAUUUACUCGGGCAUGAAUAUUGGCUUCACUCAGCAGCUGGUUGAGUGUGGUGGCGAGCUCAUGCUGGUGCAGGUCAUCCCUGCAGAGCAAAUUAUGCAUCUGAAGUUCGAAGUGUACCGCUUGGACUUGUCGGGACAGCCAACAUGGGUGAAGGUGGAUGGUUUGGGAGAUUGGGCAUUGUUCAUUGAGGAGUCAGGCAGAUGCCCGGCAUCGUGUCCUUGCCCAGGCAGAUGGGGAGGACGGAGCAAUUGCAUCUAUUAUGCCGGACAUGGACGUGGUCGUUGGCAUGUGUUCUCAUUGGACGACACGUCUAUUGAUACUACUGAUCCAGAAUCUCCUCUGUAUUUUGACAACCAAUGUGUUUCGAAGUGGCCUUCGCCCCUUUGGGUUUAUCCGAGUAUGUUGUAUUGAUCCCUUUGAUAGGUUGGAGUGCUUGUGUCAUUUGUUUUGAUGUGUGGUUAAGAGGUAUAGUGGUGAUAUCAUAGCCGUGGUCAUUUCUCAUUUAAUGACUAGUCUAAAGAUGUAGAAGAUUUAAUCUUUAUGUUUUUCUUUGGUUUCCUCCUCUCUUUCCAAGCUUCCAGAUCUUGGCUAUGGAGAGGACGAUCAAUGUUGAGACAUAAAAUUGGUGAUAGCAAUAGUGGCAAGGCAUAUGGAAUGGAUACACAUUGAUAGUUAUGGAAUUAAAGACACAUAUGCUGGAGCAAUUGCAAGUCUUAAGCGUUGCACUUAUAUUAUGAAUAGUCUUUGUUUAUGCAGAUCUUUGUUUAAUUAAUUUAGCAUAUUACUUUACAUGUUGUGUUGUCCUUUAUGCAGAUCAAAAAAAGGAGAAUUUUCUGUACAGGGUGUCAUCAAGAUUGCAGUGGAGCAAAGGGAAUUUUUGGUGGAUUGGUGACAUGCGUAGAAUGCAAAUAGAACAACAACGGUGAAAGCACUCUGCUGUAUCAACACUAACAUUGAGAGAAGGAAGCAAGGGGACCAAAUGGGACUAGUAUGUGCUAUCAUAAUAUGUUCAAGUUCACCUUUUUUUAUAAUAUCUGGUACAGUGAAAGCAUUUUACAUAAUUUAGGCCCAAUUUUAGUAUUUUAUGUCUGUUACAAUACCAAAACUUCAACAGUUAUAAGCUUCGCAAACUUCAUUCGA